GAUCAAGGCCAGUACCUGUUGAUAAUCGUCGAAUAUCACGUUCGUAGUCAUAUUUGAAAACAUAACUUUGAAGGGCGCGUUGUAUAUGGAAAGCCAGUAAUCGAUCAGUUCACAACCGACCGUCUAAGAAAUAACAACAAAAGCAUUACGUCGUAGUUUCGGAAAUAGCUGAGGAUCGACCGUUAUUCUUAACGAAGGGAACAUGGGUUACAUUGUUGACGAACUAAUUGAGCAGAUGUUGUCGAACAUCUUCGCGAAUUCGGUCUGGAAUCGAGUCAGCAAUUAAGUAGCUCACGGAAGAGAAAUGUCCACGAUGUAAAGCCAUAAAAUGCAUCGUUACUACUUAUCAAGAUGUCAAGUGGCAAGUGUAAAUUAUCGCUUCACACUUCUGGUUUUGAUCGUUGCAAUAAAAUUAUAUGGCAUCCAUAAAAUCAAGCUACUAGAAGGAUGGAAUUUUUUUAGUUAAAGAAUAUAAGAUUUAAUUUUACAGGUAAAAUCUGAUACGUAUCCAGUUAAAUUGUUAAUAGAGAAAUUCAUUUAUUCAUAGAUGAUUCUAAUCAAUUUAAAAUUAUCUUAGGAGAAGGAAUUCUUU